AGAUUGAACGCUGGCGGCAUGCCUUACACAUGCAAGUCGAACGCGAAAGGGGGGGCAACUCCUGAGUAGAGUGGCGAACGGGUGAGUAAUACAUCGGAACAUGUCCAGUAGCGGGGGAUAACCUCGAGAAAUCGAGGCUAAUACCGCAUACGUCCUACGGGAGAAAGCAGGGGACCGCAAGGCCUUGCACUAUUGGAGUGGCCGAUGUCGGAUUAGCUAGUUGGCGGGUAAAAGCCCACCAAGGCGACGAUCCGUAGCUGGUCUGAGAGGAUGAUCAGCCACACUGGGACUGAGACACGGCCCAGACUCCGUACGGGAGCAGCGAGGUGGGGAAUUUUGGAACUAAGUGGGGCACGAAG
rnacentral:rRNA from 1 species